rnacentral:rRNA from 1 species
UACGGAGGGUCCAAGCGUUAUCCGGAAUCAUUGGGUUUAAAGGGUCCGUAGGCGGUUUGUAAGUCAGUGGUGAAAGCCCAUCGCUCAACGGUGGAACGGCCAUUGAUACUGCAAGACUUGAAUUAUUGGGAAGUAACUAGAAUAUGUAGUGUAGCGGUGAAAUGCUUAGAGAUUACAUGGAAUACCAAUUGCGAAGGCAGGUUACUACCAAUAUAUUGACGCUGAUGGACGAAAGCGUGGGGAGC